AUGGCCGCUGACUCCAGAGGGCCAACCAAUGUCAGCGAAGCAGGUGGAGGAGGAGCCAGGGGCGGAGAUGGAGAACCAACGAUCCAGGGGGAUGCUGAGGAUCCGGGGGGCCAGGGUGGAGCCAAGGGCCCUGGCGACCGAGGAGGAGAUCCAAGGAUCCAUGGCGGAGCCAGAGCGACUGAGGACCAAGGUGGGGCUGGCGGGAGGAAGGAGCCCAACGGAGCUGGUGGGACGGAGCACCUAGGCACAGCCAGUGGAGAGGAGUCCAGAGGCGAUGGCGGGUUGACGCCCGACCAAGGCAGAGCCGGAGGGACCAGGGAGCCCGGUGGAGCUGAUGGAUCGAUGGUUGACGGUGGAGGCGAGGCAGCUAGGAGCCGAGGUGGAGCCGCUGGGACUACGGGCAGAGGCGGAGUCCGGGCCGAGGAGGCGGAGGUGAGGGAGACUCCAACCACCGCGACGCUAGAGGAUGGCAGUCCCGUGGGGCUCGCACCACAUAGAUGGUGGGCUGAGGGCGAGCAGAGGGGCUGCCAGAUGACAGCGAAUGAAGGAGGCAGGAGCAAGUGGGAGGGCGGGCAUUUUGGAGGAGUGGCCACUGGAGGACACUUUCUAAGAGCGGGCACUGGAGGACACUUUCAAGGAGUUGGCACUGGAGAAUCAGAACCCCACUCAGGGCUGGAUGAGGAAACCAAGGACGAAGGAGGACUGGACAGGACCAGCAGAGUCGACAGAGAGAGGAGAGGGGGUAGUUCAACCUCCAGUUCUGAUUUCCAAUCAAUAAGAUCCUCCUCCAGAUUUUGGCCCUUUUGGUGUUCCAUAUUUUGCUCACCCUCAGCCGUGGUGCAGGGGGUGGAUCUCCUCUAUGCGCUCACACCGUCCACGGCUUGCUCCCUUGCAGCAGGCACUGUAACCGGCUCUUGCACCUGGUCUGACAGGUUGGGCUCUGGCAUCGGUGGGCUCGGGCAUGCGCUUCGCACAUCGGGGAGAUGGUGGGCUGGGCUCUGGGUCCAGAGUGGACCUGGCGAGAUCCUCCAUGGGGCAGAUGGUAAGGGGCGACCUAAUUCUCACCAGAGUCCAAUCUACGAAGGCAGUGAAUUCGUCCCGAGGAGCAUCUUCAGACGACAAUGCUCUGCACUCAGCGUUCAGGCUUGCCUCAUAGAAAGCGCAGAGUGCAUCAUCCGGGUAGCUGGUGAUGUGAGCUAG
ensembl:lncRNA